AACGAACGCUGGCGGUAUGCCUAACACAUGCAAGUCGAACGAGAUCUUCGGGUCUAGUGGCGCACAGGUGCGUAACGCGUGGGAAUCUGCCCUUGGUUCGGAAUAACAGUUGGAAACGACUGCUAAUACCGGAUGAUGACGAAAGUCCAAAGAUUUAUCGCCAGAGGAUGAGCCCGCGUAGGAUUAGCUAGUUGGUGUGGUAGAGGCGCACCAAGGCGACGAUCCUUAGCUGGUCUGAGAGGAUGAUCAGCCACACUGGGACUGAGACACGGCCCAGACUCCUACGGGAGGCAGCAGUGGGGAAUAUUGGACAAUGGGCGAAAGCCUGAUCCAGCAAUGCCGCGUGAGUGAUGAAGGCCUUAGGGUUGUAAAGCUCUUUUACCCGGGAUGAUAAUGACAGUACCGGGAGAAUAAGCUCCGGCUAACUCCGUGCCAGCCGCCGCAGUAA
rnacentral:rRNA from 1 species